GCCUGGGUGGCUCAGUCGGUUAAGCAUCUGACUUCGGCUCAGAUCAUGAUCUCACGGUCCGUGAGUUCGAGCCCCGCGUCGGGCU
rnacentral:tRNA from 1 species